AUGUUCAGAAAGUGGUCUCCUGUACCAAUUAAUUCACGGGUACUUCCCACUUUGUCUUCUAAUAGGUUCAGUGUGGCUGGGUUUAUGUUGAGGUCUUUGAUCCAUUUUGACUUAAUUUUGUGCAUGGAGAUAGGCUUGGAUCUAUCUGUAGUCUUCUACUUGUCCGCAUCCAAUUAUGCCAGCACCAUUGUUGAAGAUGUUCUCUAUAACUCCCCUUGUCUUGGUUUCCCACACAGGGUCCUAGGAAGCUUGGAGCAUCUGCCUGAGCCUCUCAGCCAGUCAUGUGAAGUCUUAAGUGUCUAUCUGGAAGGCCUGCCAGUCUCCUGGGCAACCUCAGCUUUCCCAGAUACCUGCCUGGGAGAGUUUGGGAAAAGAGGAGACCUUGGAGUCCGUGAAAGAAGAGGUUCUCACAGAACACAAGACAGAAACAUCAUAACUGCCACCGUCAAGGCAUCAAAGGCUUUUGCACACAAGAUCCAGUCAAAAUUAGACCCAUCUUUGGGUUCCUCAAGCUUUAGUUCAACUGAACCCCCCAAUCAGUUGAACUGUGCUAGCCCCAAUCUGCUUAGGCCAGGAGUAAGCUCUCCCUCCCGACCACUUUUAGGCAAUGGGGAUUAGACACAGGAUCUUCCAUAUGCCUUAAGCUAUAUAAACAUUCUACCACUCUGAUGGGGGAAGUCCUUCUGUGUAUAUGUUUCUCUUAUUGGUUGAUAAAUAAAGCACUGUUGGCCAAUAGGGAAGCA
rnacentral:lncRNA from 1 species